GUAAAUCCCAACUCUUCAACCCAAACAGAAACCGCAGUGCAGCAGGAGCCUGAACCCAGCUCAGGAUGAACAGACGUUGUCUGAGCUCUGUUCCCACAUUACCUUGAGAAUGCAAAACGCAGCACACUUGCCUGCAAGUGAGAACCCAUCUGCUUGCAGAAGAUAUUGCAAGAUAAAUGUUUCAUAUGGGAUACUUAGAAAUUGGCUGCAAUGGCCUGAGUGAGUGGAGCACUGAGGCCAAGCUCCUUCCUGCAGAGAGCUGAGGAAGCACGGGGUGAGGGCUCCCCAUCAGUGCUCAGUGCAGGCUGUGGGAGCUGAGCCUUGCAUGGCAACCCCUUGGUGCUCUCCUGUAGCAGAUGUUUGCACAGGCACUCACUGCUCCUGAGCACUGCCAGUUAUUUCUACCUCAAAGAAGAGAGGAAUCACCUUUCCAUAAGUUCCAUAUCCCUAGGAGAGCUGAGAGGCCCAGAGCAGAGACCCGGCACAACCCUGCCAGGGGAAACACUGGGGACAGCAUCCGGCACUGCCGAGGGGCCACUGCUCAGAGCAGGCUGCAGCCAGGACCUGGAUGUCUGAUUGGAAGUGAGUGAGGUUACUCAUGGUUUCCUGUGCAUCCCAACAUCGAUGCCUUUAGGGCUUCUCUGGUUCAGAAUCCCAAGCCAGAGGUCCUGUGGCACAGCUCACAGACAGGGGUCUGCGGGAGGUCAGAUUCUCAGGCAGUGUUUUGGGAGGGGGAAGGGAAGGAGAUCCCUGCCUGCUGAGCUGGGAAGAGGCAGCUGCUGGGUGGCAAGGAGAGCUGCUCUGCUGGGGCUGCCCCUGCUGGGGCUGAGUGCAGCUCACCUUCACCUCCCUGCUUGUGUUCACCUCUGGUGGAUUGCACUGAGGGUAUCGCUCUCCUGCUUGGGGCUGCUGAGCCUUUAAGGAAAUGUUUUUGUUUAUGCAGGGCUGCCAGAUUUCCUAUGCUUCUUGGCACAGGGUCACAGCUUUCAUGCCUCCUUGUCUGUCUUUAUUAACACCAAUUCCUUUUUAUCACUGCGUAGCACCGCAGAGUUUCUCAGUGGGUUUUACGUUCCACCCAGACCGUAUGUAAAUCCUCAGCAAUGCUACCAACAGUGCCAGAAACGGACACUUCUUCAGUCUGAUGCUGUUUCUGGUUAAGGAAUCCAUCAACACAAGCCAGGCCCUUGGUUUCUAAGCACAGUUCCUUAAUCCUGCCCCCAGAUCUGGGACUUGGAGCUGUCUUGAAAUGUGUUUGCUUUUCUGUCUAGUAACUGCUGCAGCUGCCCCCUCUUUAGAGCCAAAGCGUGAAGCGGACACGGGGAAGGGUUGCCCACCCCCGGCAGGGAUAAGGAUGAAGCCCCAGUACUGGCAAUGCCUCUGAAGGUACAGAGCAGUGGGCUCAAACCCUGCCAUGUGCCUGGGGCCAUCCCACCGUACCAUGCACAGCACAGCCCACAGAGCACACAACGGAGCAUGCAGAGCCAUGCGCAGCCCCAUGGUAACAUCUCUUUUUCUGCCCCAGCCAGCAAGCAGUGGUUGAAGCACUUGGAUGCUCCUUUCCCAGCAUAUGGCAUGAGCACACCCGCAGUGAAAACAAUGCAGGCCACGUCUGAUCUCCAACACAACGCGUUUUUGCGGGCAGGAAUAAUUUCUGUAUCUCAAAUGUUAGGAAUUUCCUGCAAACGAGAGGGAUCAGUUAAAGGAAAGUAGGCUUAACUAGAUACUCUGCAUGCCUAAUUGCAGAUAAACACAGGGUGCAAAAUAUAUUAUUCAACGAGAAGCGUGAAAGAGACUUAUUAUGAUGAGUGAUCUGGAGCGACGCAACUCAGCUUUGUGCUUUUUUCUCUAAAUGAAUUUUCUCAAGUCCUUUCUCCUCUCCAUAGGUAUCUCUGCGUAUUUCUUAAAGGGCAAAGGAAAAAAAAAAAAAGCU